rnacentral:rRNA from 1 species
UACGUAGGGGGCAAGCGUUGUCCGGAAUUACUGGGCGUAAAGCGCACGUAGGCGGCUUUGUAAGUUAGAGGUGAAAGCCCGGGGCUCAACUCCGGAACUGCCUUUAAGACUGCAUCGCUAGAAUUGUGGAGAGGUGAGUGGAAUUCCGAGUGUAGAGGUGAAAUUCGUAGAUAUUCGGAAGAACACCAGUGGCGAAGGCGACUCACUGGACACAUAUUGACGCUGAGGUGCGAAAGCGUGGGGAGCAAACAGG